rnacentral:lncRNA from 1 species
GUGAAGGCAGUAAGAAUGAAACAUAUAAUAUUAAACAGGUUCUAAAAUGGUGUUUUUAAAGUCCAUUUCUGAUAUAUUGCAUCAUUUCAGUUCUAGUUUACAAUUUCUUUCAUAUCAGUGCCAGUGCCAUGCUGUCUUUACUCCUGUCAGCUGUAAUGAGUUCAUUAUUUUUCUGCCUCUCCAUUAUGGUUAUGAUCUUCACUGUUUUUAACUGUUGUAUGUUGUUAAUUUGCUUUAUUAUUCAGGUUCCUUUUCAUUUUAUCUUGAGAUUGUAACAAUUUAUCCAGGAACUUGGAACUUAGAAGUUAGAAUAAAGGAACAUAAAAAUGACAUAGAAAGAAAAACAUUCAACAUGAUCCUUUCUCAAAAAGCCAAUUGUUACAAUCUAGAGAUAGACCAGAAAGAAGUCCAAAUAAAGCAAAUUGAUAAUAUACAGCAAUUAAAAACAGCGGAGGCCAUAGCCAUAUACGAAAAUAAGAGAAGAGGCAGAAAAGUAAUGAACUUGUUACGGCAGAUGGAAGUAGGGACAACAUGGUGCUGGUACAAAAGAAAUUGUAAAUUGGAACUGAACAAUGACAUAUUGGAAAUGGACUUUGAG